rnacentral:lncRNA from 1 species
AAAAUCUUCCUUCUUAUUUAUUCACUUAUAUAUGUUCCCAAACAUAUUAUGAUAGAUCAAAUAAUAAUUCAAAGUCCAAAAUUUAGUUAUGGACAAAAAUACAAGCAAUUCACCAGUACUGAAGUUGCUACAAAAACUGGAAUCUUCCCCAGCCUAGAAAUCCAACAAAGCUUCGCCUCCUUUUCUCUAUCAAAUUUUUGCAGCUGCUGCUUCUCUCCAAUGGAGCUGAAUUUUGGACACCCUCUAGUUCUUGAGCAGAUGAACAACUUUCAAGAAGGAACCAUUUCUGUUUGAGCCACGGAAAUUAAAGUGUUGAAGCUCCAAGCAUGACAGUCGGAUUCUUGCAGAUUUCGAAGCUGCUGUGAUGUUUCGAAGAUCUGGAAAUAUUUAACCAUUAGUUCAUUCUGAAUUUUUGAUAUGUUAUGAAAGAGACGAUGAGGAACAACUUCAAUGAAGAAAGCAUGCUGAUCUGAGCAAGAGAAAAUGGAGUUUCAAAGCUCACAACAAAUCUGACGGGUUGACAGAAAAAUAAUAACCAGUCAUUCAUCAUACCUGAAUUUCUUGAGUUAUACAGCUCCGAGGGAUCUCAAAUUUGGAUAUGUUGUAGUUCACAAGCUGAGGAAAAACUUCAAUGAAGAAAGCAUGCUUAUUUGAGCAAGAGAAAAUAGAGUUUCAAAGCUCACAACAAAUCUGACGGGUUGACAGACAAAUGAUAAACAGUCACUCAUCAUACCUGGAUUUCUGGAGUUAUACUGCUCCGAGGGACCUCAAAUUUGGAUAUGUUGUAGUUCACAAGUUAAGGAACAACUUCGAUGAAGAAAGUAUGUUGAUCUGAGUAAGAGAAAAUGGAGUUUUUGAAGCUCACAACAAGUCUGACGCGUUGAUAUACAAAUGACGAACAAUCACUCAUCAUACCUGAAUUUCUGGAGUUGUACUGCUCCGAUGGAUCUCCAAUUCGGAUAUGUUGUAGUUCACGAGCUAAGGAACAACUUUCAUGAAGAUGGUUUUGCGAUC